UCCUCCUCUCCUCCUCUCUCUGUGUCGUGGUCUGCUGUUCUGUCUUUCUGUGUUCUGGUUCUACUGGUUCUACUGGUUCUACUGGUUCUACUGGUGAGACGGUGCAGCCACAUUAAACCUAAAGCUGCUGGAGAAGAAUUUGGGGAUGAUGACAUCGCAGACGACAUCACAUACAGUGAUGUCAAAAUAUCACAUCACCUAAAGCAGCCAAUCAGACGCAGCAAAGAGAGUGAUCCAGCUGCAGUCUACUCAGCAGUGAGAGGAACAGGAGACGUCAGUUAUGGACAAAUAGUUGUCAGACCACACAGGACGAGAGAGUUUCCAGCAGAGCCAGAGGUCGUCUACUCUUCACUGAGGUAGACCUUCACACCUUCACACCAGUCCAACCACUGAUGUCCAGCUGGCCUGGAACUGGUCCCCAGAGCCCCUCACACCUCAGCACAUCCAUUUAUUAGAUUUCACUGUUAAAGCUAAAUUAGACUAAAUAUAUAUAAAUGGUGUAAAAUCAGUCACACAAAAAAUGGUUAAAAAGCUUUUUUUUAAGUUACUCAUGCUUUUUUUUUUACCCUGUAAGUGUUUCAGUACGGUGCUGAUCACAGACUUGUUGUUUUGUGGAUAAUAUAAUAACAAACUUUACGUUUGUUUAUAUUUUAUUCAUGUUCGUUGGUUUCUUGUUGCUGCAGCAACAUGUUUCUCUACAGGAUCAAUAAACUUUGGUCUCGUU